UCCAGGCCUAACGGCGACGGCGGAAGUGGGCCCCGGGUCAGCCGGGAGAUUCGAAGCAAGGGAGCAGCAUCAGAGGAUUAGGAGAGGCGAAAUGACUUGACUCCUGAGCUGAAGAGGCAGAACUGGAGAGUAUCAAUUUUAUUGCGGCGUGUCCAACCACAAGAUCUCGAGGAGUAGAGGGGGACAUUUCCCCUCCCUGACAAAAGAUUUGCCCUUAGAUCACAGACUGAUUUUCACUGUGCGUUGAAGCCAUUCAUCACAAGAACUGCCACAGCCCACGCUGUACCCAGCUGAUGGCUGGGCCCUGAGAGCUGUGCCUUCACCAAACCCGAGGCCGCUUUUUACCCCCGUGACGCGCCCACUAGGGGGCGCAAUCCUCAUCCUUAAGGUGCGGCGGGUCCUCUGGGUCCCCUUGGGGCCUACUGCAAGGGGCCCGGCCCUGGAAUGCGGAGGAGUUUGAGGAUAACAGCCAUUGUUGGACAGGCCUCCAAGUAUAUUUACAAAGUUAACGCGGCACCGCUUUCUUUGAUGGAAUGGUCUAAAGGUAUAAUAAAGUAGACUUUCGAGUUCUCACACGCCUCUUGCAUUAAUUUUAUUGACGAGAACUAUCUCUUUGCCUUCUUUUUUGGAGUGGGGAGAGGACAAUGAGAGGAGCAAACUAGGUCCUGCUUUUCUUAACACCAACGUUUUCAAAACAUUAAGCAAUAGUCAAUUAAAUGAAAGUACCUCUUGGGAUUGCCUCAAAGAAUGGGGGUGGGGAAGGGAGUCUUGUGGGGGAGUGGAUGAUGUCAGUUGUGCCAGUGUGAUGGCUACAAUGAUAAUUUAUGUUACCUCUUCCUUGGGCUUAUUUGAAAUUGUCAUUGAUAAAAUAUUCACAGACGUCUCAACAGGGAGCUCUAAAGGGCCACCGAACCUCAAAAAAAAAAAAAAAA